UACGUAGGGGGCUAGCGUUGUCCGGAUUUAUUGGGCGUAAAGAGCGUGUAGGCGGCCAGGUAGGUCUGCUGUGAAAACUCGAGGCUCAACCUCGAGACGUCGGUGGAAACCGUUUGGCUAGAGUCCGGAAGAGGAGAGUGGAAUUCCCGGUGUAGCGGUGAAAUGCGCAGAUAUCGGGAGGAACACCUAUGGCGAAGGCAGCUCGCUGGGACGUUACUGACGCUGAGACGCGAAAGCGUGGGGAGCAAACAGG
rnacentral:rRNA from 1 species